rnacentral:rRNA from 1 species
UACGUAGGGGGCAAGCGUUGUCCGGAUUUAUUGGGCGUAAAGAGCGUGUAGGCGGCCAGGUAGGUCCGUUGUGAAAACUCGAGGCUCAACCUCGAGACGUCGGCGGAAACCCUCUGGCUAGAGUCCGGAAGAGGAGAGUGGAAUUCCUGGUGUAGCGGUGAAAUGCGCAGAUAUCAGGAAGAACACCCGUGGCGAAGGCGGCCCUCUGGGACGGUACUGACGCUGAGACGCGAAGCGUGGGGAGCAACAG